rnacentral:tRNA from 1 species
GGGGAUGUAGUUCAAUGGUAGAGCAUGUGUUUGGCAUGCGUAAGGCCUUGGGUUCAAUCCCCAACACCA